rnacentral:rRNA from 1 species
CGAACGCUGGCGGCAGGCUUAACACAUGCAAGUCGAACGGGUGCAGCAAUGCAUCAGUGGCAGACGGGUGAGUAACACGUGGGAACCUUCCUAGGGGUACGGAACAACUGCGGGAAACUGCAGCUAAUACCGUAUACGCCCUUACGGGGAAAGAUUUAUCGCCGAAGGAUUGGCCCGCGUUCGAUUAGCUAGUUGGUGGGGUAAAAGCUCACCAAGGCUACGAUCGAUAGCUGUUCUGAGAGGAAGAUCAGCCACACUGGGACUGAGACACGGCCCAGACUCCUACGGGAGGCAGCAGUUGGGAAUCUUGGACAAUGGGGGAAACCCUGAUCCAGCCAUGCCGCGUGAGUGAUGAAGGCCUUCGGGUUGUAAAACUCUUUCGACGGGACGAUAAUGACGGUACCCGUAGAAGAAGCUCCGGCUAACUUCGUGCCAGCAGCCGCGGUAAUCUGAUGGCGCGAG